AUUGAACGCUGGCGGCAUGCCUUACACAUGCAAGUCGAACGGUAACAGGUCUUCGGCUGCUGCCGAGUGGCGAACGGGUGAGUAAUACAUCGGAACGUGCCCGAUCGUGGGGGAUAACGAGGCGAAAGCUUUGCUAAUACCGCAUACGAUCUACGGCUGAAAGCGGGGGAUCUUCGGACCUCGCGCGGCCGGAGCGGCCGAUGUCAGAUUAGGUAGUUGGUGGGAUAAAGGCUUACCAAGCCGACGAUCUGUAGCUGGUCUGAGAGGAUGAUCAGCCACACUGGAACUGAGACACGGCCCAGACUCCUACGGGAGGCAGCAGUGGGGAAUUUUGGACAAUGGGCGAAAGCCUGAUCCAGCCAUGCCGCGUGCAGGAUGAAGGCCUUCGGGUUGUAAACUGCUUUUGUACGGAACGAAAAGCAUCAUUCUAAUAAAGAGGGGUCAUGACGGUACCGUAAGAAUAAGCACCGGCUAACUACGUG
rnacentral:rRNA from 1 species